rfam:Colletotrichum gloeosporioides Nara gc5 unplaced genomic scaffold scaffold877, whole genome shotgun sequence.
GCGCCGAUGGUUUAGUGGUAAAAUUCUCCGUUGCCACCAAGCAGCGUCGGGGAGCCGGGGGUUCGAUUCCCCCCUCGGCGCA